rnacentral:rRNA from 1 species
UGCUAUACAUGCAGUCGAGCGGACAGAAGGGAGCUUGCUCCCGGAUGUUAGCGGCGGACGGGUGAGUAACACGUGGGUAACCUGCCUGUAAGACUGGGAUAACUCCGGGAAACCGGAGCUAAUACCGGAUAGUUCCUUGAACCGCAUGGUUCAAGGAUGAAAGACGGUUUCGGCUGUCACUUACAGAUGGACCCGCGGCGCAUUAGCUAGUUGGUGGGGUAAUGGCUCACCAAGGCNACGAUGCGUAGCCGACCUGAGAGGGUGAUCGGCCACACUGGGACUGAGACACGGCCCAGACUCCUACGGGAGGCAGCAGUAGGGAAUCUUCCGCAAUGGACGAAAGUCUGACGGAGCAACGCCGCGUGAGUGAUGAAGGUUUUCGGAUCGUAAAGCUCUGUUGUUAGGGAAGAACAAGUGCGAGAGUAACUGCUCGCACCUUGACGGUACCUAACCAGAAAGCCACGGCUAACUACGUGCCAGCAGCCGCGGUAAUAC